ensembl:lncRNA
UAUUUUUUUCGGGUACUUGUACUUUUUUGAGUAUAUUUUUAAAGCUGUACUUUUACUUGUACCUAAGUACAAAUUAAGCUAAAUCUACUUCGUUAUUUUUAAAUCAUAGUUCGUUACUGAGUACACCUACAAUUUGAAUUGAUAUUCAAACUUUUGAAGGCACUUCAGCAGCCAAUAAAAAUAUCCGAUCGUAAAGGGACCAAUAACAGCGCUGAUAUCUGAACCAGCGCCGCUGCAGCAGGUGAAGAGCUGAUCAGACAGUGAGGGAGCUCAGCGUGAUUUAUGGACUCAAAGCUUGAAGAAACAAACUACAUGUAUCUACCGAAUAUUCACCGAUAAAAUCUGCGUCUCUCCUCUCCGACAGAGAGUUUGACAAUCAUCCGUCUACCGUCAAUUACAGAGUCUGAAAGUCUGCGUGGGAUUGCAGUGACCUCCUCAUCAGGGGAUUUGGGUUCAGUGUCACCAACCUGACUGGUCACCUGGGCCUGCACAACAGCUACUGGAGGAUCAGAGUCAUCAGCCCUAAGGUCAGCUGCAUAGCACACAGUCGUGUCAAUUUCACUAUCCUCUUCGGGCUCCUCUGGGGGGACUUCAGGCAUGUCAUUGUGAUGUGCAAUCAACUGGUCACCUCUGUUGCACUGGGCCAACAAGUACUCCACUGCAAUGCGCUUCCCUGCAAUAAUUUUUACCACAUUGUUAAUGGGGAGAGGACACACAUACACACAC